rfam:Hordeum vulgare subsp. vulgare, WGS project CAJW01000000 data, contig: morex_contig_136356
AUCAUACUCCCACCGUCUGGAAAUAUUUGUCGAAGAAAUGAACAAAGAUGAAUGUAUCUAGAACUAAAAUAUGUAUAGAUAGAUCCAUUUCUUCAACAAGUAUUUUCGGAUGGAGGGAGUAGAAU